rnacentral:rRNA from 1 species
GACGAACGCUGGCGGCGUGCUUAACACAUGCAAGUCGAACGGAAAGGCCCUGCUUGCAGGGUCCUCGAGUGGCGAACGGGUGAGUAACACGUGGGUGAUCUGCCCUUCACUUCGGGAUAAGCCUGGGAAACUGGGUCUAAUACCGGAUAGGAGCCAUUUUUAGUGUGAUGGUUGGAAAGUUUUUUCGGUGUAGGAUGAGCUCGCGGCCUAUCAGCUUGUUGGUGGGGUAAUGGCCUACCAAGGCGGCGACGGGCAGCCGGCCUGAGAGGGUGGACGGCCACAUUGGGACUGAGAUACGGCCCAGACUCCUACGGGAGGCAGCAGCGGGGAAUAUUGCACAAUGGGCGCAAGCCUGAUGCAGCGACGCCGCGUGGGGGAUGACGGCCUUCGGGUUGUAAACUCCGUUCGCUAGGGACGAAGCUUUUUGUGACGGUACCUAGAUAAGAAGCACCGGCUAACUACGUG